UACGUAGGGUGCAAGCGUUAAUCGGAAUUACUGGCGUAAAGCGUGCGCAGGCGGUGAUGUAGAACAGAUGUGAAAUCCCCGGGCUCAACCUGGGAACUGCAUUUGUGACUGCAAUCGCUGGAGUACGGCAGAGGGGGGGAUGGAAUUCCGCGUGUAGCAGUGAAAUGCGUAGAUAAUGCGGAGGAACACCGAUGCGAAGGCAAUCCCUGGGCCUGUACUGACGCUCAGUGCACGAAAGCGUGGGAGC
rnacentral:rRNA from 1 species